rnacentral:rRNA from 2 species
UUUAUAUGAGAGUUUGAUCCUGGCUCAGGAUGAACGCCGGCGGUGUGCCUAAUACAUGCAAGUCGAACGCGUUGGCCCAAUUGAUUGAUGGUGCUUGCACCUGAUUGAUUUUGGUCGCCAACGAGUGGCGGACGGGUGAGUAACACGUAGGUAACCUGCCCAGAAGCGGGGGACAACAUUUGGAAACAGAUGCUAAUACCGCAUAACAGCGUUGUUCGCAUGAACAACGCUUAAAAGAUGGCUUCUCGCUAUCACUUCUGGAUGGACCUGCGGUGCAUUAGCUUGUUGGUGGGGUAACGGCCUACCAAGGCGAUGAUGCAUAGCCGAGUUGAGAGACUGAUCGGCCACAAUGGGACUGAGACACGGCCCAUACUCCUACGGGAGGCAGCAGUAGGGAAUCUUCCACAAUGGGCGCAAGCCUGAUGGAGCAACACCGCGUGAGUGAAGAAGGGUUUCGGCUCGUAAAGCUCUGUUGUUAAAGAAGAACACGUAUGAGAGUAACUGUUCAUACGUUGACGGUAUUUAACCAGAAAGUCACGGCUAACUACGUGCCAGCAGCCGCGGUAAUACGUAGGUGGCAAGCGUUAUCCGGAUUUAUUGGGCGUAAAGAGAGUGCAGGCGGUUUUCUAAGUCUGAUGUGAAAGCCUUCGGCUUAACCGGAGAAGUGCAUCGGAAACUGGAUAACUUGAGUGCAGAAGAGGGUAGUGGAACUCCAUGUGUAGCGGUGGAAUGCGUAGAUAUAUGGAAGAACACCAGUGGCGAAGGCGGCUACCUGGUCUGCAACUGACGCUGAGACUCGAAAGCAUGGGUAGCGAACAGGAUUAGAUACCCUGGUAGUCCAUGCCGUAAACGAUGAGUGCUAGGUGUUGGAGGGUUUCCGCCCUUCAGUGCCGGAGCUAACGCAUUAAGCACUCCGCCUGGGGAGUACGACCGCAAGGUUGAAACUCAAAGGAAUUGACGGGGGCCCGCACAAGCGGUGGAGCAUGUGGUUUAAUUCGAAGCUACGCGAAGAACCUUACCAGGUCUUGACAUCUUGCGCCAACCCUAGAGAUAGGGCGUUUCCUUCGGGAACGCAAUGACAGGUGGUGCAUGGUCGUCGUCAGCUCGUGUCGUGAGAUGUUGGGUUAAGUCCCGCAACGAGCGCAACCCUUGUUACUAGUUGCCAGCAUUAAGUUGGGCACUCUAGUGAGACUGCCGGUGACAAACCGGAGGAAGGUGGGGACGACGUCAGAUCAUCAUGCCCCUUAUGACCUGGGCUACACACGUGCUACAAUGGACGGUACAACGAGUCGCGAACUCGCGAGGGCAAGCAAAUCUCUUAAAACCGUUCUCAGUUCGGACUGCAGGCUGCAACUCGCCUGCACGAAGUCGGAAUCGCUAGUAAUCGCGGAUCAGCAUGCCGCGGUGAAUACGUUCCCGGGCCUUGUACACACCGCCCGUCACACCAUGAGAGUUUGUAACACCCAAAGUCGGUGGGGUAACCUUUUAGGAGCCAGCCGCCUAAGGUGGGACAGAUGAUUAGGGUGAAGUCGUAACAAGGUAGCCGUAGGAGAACCUGCGGCUGGAUCACCUCCUUUCUAAGGAA